rnacentral:misc_RNA from 1 species
AGAGUUAAACAGUACGUGAAAUUGUUGAAAGGGAAACGAUUGAAGUCAGUCAUACCUACGGGUAAUCAACCUUUCGAGCGUGAUUUUGUGGGCCGUGAGGAGUUUAACCCCUCAUGUUCGCAUAUUCGUGCUUCUUGGGUGUACUUGCUCGUGCGGUAGGUUAACAUCAAUUUUGGUCAUCAUAAAAUGACGGGGGGAAUGUAGCUUUGAUCUCGUAUCGAAGUGUUAUAGCCUCUGGUAGAUGUGAUGAUUGGGAUUGAGGAUUGCAACGGAUACCCUUCGGGGCUACCUGUCUGAUCUCUGAAGGUUGCUCUGGUGCUGAAAGCGUGCUUACAGUUAUCAAAGUUAACAGUCAAAAGGUUAGAACGGGUUAAAUUCGUUAAGGAUGUUGACGUAAUGAUUUUAAACGA